GAUGAAGAACGUAGUGAAAUGCGAUAAGUAGUGUGAAUUGCAGAAUUCAGUGAAUCAUCGAAUCUUUGAACGCACAUUGCGCCCCUUGGUAUUCCAUGGGGCAUGCCUGUUCGAGCGUCAUUUGUACCUUCAAGCUCUGCUUGGUGUUGGGUGUUUGUCUCGCCUCUGCGUGUAGACUCGCCUUAAAACAAUUGGCAGCCGGCGUAUUGAUUUCGGAGCGCAGUACAUCUCGCGCUUUGCACUCAUAACGACGACGUCCAAAAGUACAUUUUUACACUCUUGACCUCAGGUCAGGCGGGGCUACCCGCUGAAUUUAAGCAUAUCAAUAAGCGGAGGA
rnacentral:misc_RNA from 1 species